AGCGCAGGCGGAAGAAUAAGUCUGAUGUGAAAGCCCUCGGCUUAACCGAGGAACUGCAUCGGAAACUGUUUUUCUUGAGUGCAGAAGAGGAGAGUGGAACUCCAUGUGUAGCGGUGGAAUGCGUAGAUAUAUGGAAGAACACCAGUGGCGAAGGCGGCUCUCUGGUCUGCAACUGACGCUGAGGCUCGAAAGCAUGGGUAGCGAACAGGAUUAGAUACCCUGGUAGUCCAUGCCGUAAACGAUGAGUGCUAAGUGUUGGGAGGUUUCCGCCUCUCAGUGCUGCAGCUAACGCAUUAAGCACUCCGCCUGGGGAGUACGACCGCAAGGUUGAAACUCAAAGGAAUUGACGGGGGCCCGCACAAGCGGUGGAGCAUGUGGUUUAAUUCGAAGCAACGCGAAGAACCUUACCAGGUCUUGACAUCUAGUGCCAUUUGUAGAGAUACAAAGUUCCC
rnacentral:rRNA from 1 species